rnacentral:lncRNA from 1 species
GCGUGCUUUUGAUCCACUCACCGACAAGCCAUCAGAAAUCAUAUCCUCAAGAAGUCAGUCGCCCGGGAGAACUCCCAGUCAAAGUUCUGUUCGCUUGGUCCAUCGUAGUCACUAACGCUGCAAGGGAUCACCACCUCUGUACCCACGACUCGAAUAAGAGGGCCUUUGGGCACCCUCACAAUACGUCCUCUGCAGAAAGCGAGAAGCAGCAGCAGGAGGAGCGGGAGCAGGCAGGGCGCCCUCUCCCCGCGCUGCCCCAUGCCGGCGGGUGCCUCUCCCUUCGCGAGGCGGAUGGCGGCCGCCGCACACGCUCGACUCGGCUUGACUCGACUCGGCUCGGCUCGCCUCCCUCCGCCCGGGGACCGGCGGCCGCUCGCCUCCCGCUGCCCUGCGAGCGCUCGGAGCCGCCCG